rnacentral:rRNA from 1 species
UAAUACCCUAUAGGUUACAGAUGCUGGAAUGCUCUGUAAUCAAAAGUUCCGGCGCCCUAGGAUGGAUCUGCGGCCGAUUAGGUUGUUGUUGGGGUAAUGGCCCAACAAGCCAGUAAUCGGUACGGGUUGUGGGAGCAAGAGCCCGGAGUUGGAUCCUGAGACACGAAUCCAGGCCCUACGGGGCGCAGCAGGCGCGAAAACUUUACAAUGCGGGCAACCGUGAUAAGGGAACCUCGAGUGCCUGUAAAUGCAGGCUGUUCAGAUGCCUAAAACACAUCUGGAGAAAGGGCCGGGCAAGACCGGUGCCAGCCGCCGCGGUAAUACCGGCGGCUCGAGUGGUGGCCACUUUUAUUGGGCUUAAAGCGUUCGUAGCUGGGUUGUUAAGUCUCUUGGGAAAUCUGGCGGCUUAACCGUCAGGCGUCUAAGGGAUACUGGCAAUCUUGGAACCGGGAGAGGUGAGGGGUACUUCGGGGGUAGGAGUGAAAUCCUGGUAUCCUCGAGGGACCACCUGUGGCGAAGGCGCCUCACCAGAACGGCUUCGACAGUGAGGGACGAAAGCUGGGGGAGCAAACCGGAUUAGAUACCCGGGUAGUCCCAGCCGUAAACUAUGCGCGUUAGGUGUAU